AUUAAUUUAUACCAAUUUACAAAAUAUCUUUCCUAAAUAUCUAUCCAUCCUUAUCCCUCCACCAAUCCGUUCCUAUCCUCACUCUGUCGACAUCCCUCUCACUCUUUUCUUUUUCUUUUUUUAUUCUCAACUUGCAGCAGCCACACCCAUUUAUUCUUCCUCAUCACCAAUACUCUUUCUUCCUUCAUGUGACAAUAACCACCAUGCUAAUUUCUUCUCCUCACAUUCCAGCACCCAAAACGCACAUAAUGGCCCCUCUUUCUCCUUCACGCAACAACACCAGCUCCUUCUCCUUAGUUCAUUUUCUUUGUUGCAGCACCAUCACCAACGUGUUUCUUCUUCCUCCUUCCAUGAACGAGCCACCAUCGGUCCUCUUUUUCUCAUGACCGAGAGCCCCCAUCAAUCACCAUCACCUUCCCUUCCUCUUCCUUUCUUCCACGCGAGCCACCACCUCUUCUGGUUCAAGGCCGCAAACAACAGCCACCGCAGCGAGCCUUCUCCUCUGCUCACGCGAACCACCACUUCCAUGCCUCUUCACCGGGAACGCACCACCACCAUAGGUGACCGCCGCCGCCUCUCCUCAGUUCUCCAGCAAGCAUGGCGGCCACAACCGCCAUCACCCACUCCCAGCGCCAUGAACGGCGCCACCAACGCAAGGACAAGAGAGAAAACGAAACCCUAAAAACCGCCACCUUUCAACUCCGAUCUCCGGCGAACCACUGAGUUUUUGGAGAAACCAAGCACACCAUGGAACUCCCCUCGACGUGCGCUGCAAAACCCCUAAAGAAAUUCUCCAUUCCAAUAACCUCCGCCGGAAACCGCCGCUACCCGCCGCCAACCACCGUCUUCUCCAGCCAUCCUUCGCCGGAGGACUCACUGAACUCAGAACAAGGAAGCUCUUUCUCUCCUCUUGCCGAAUUAAAGAUCAAUUUUGGCUCUAGUGAUGUCAAAUGGAGAGGACAACCAUGACCAGCAAAGGAGAAACCUUCUACUUCCUUCCACUUUGAUAGGGUUGGCAUUCUUAUCUGGAUCGAAUGAUUUCUAGAGCCUAUAUGCUUCUCAAUUUUGCUGUCCAAAUGCUUUGUAAAAUUUAGUGAAGAAAAUAUAGAUUAGUGUAUGUAUUUGGUGUUUUAUUAGACUCUGAUCAAUUUAGUUUUGUCUCAAGUUUUAGGUGCUGCGACCUUAAAUUGAAAAUGAAAUUUGUGGGUUUAAAAUUAGCUUAGAAGUUCCAUGUUGUUGCUGUCACGUGAUUGUAGCAGCCAACUGAUCUGUCAAAUACUUAGGUUUCGUGUCCGAUUUUGGAACUGUUGUCUUCAUAAGAAUGGUAGAUCUUUUCGUUAGAAAA